AAUAGUUUUUUGCAAUGUUGCAAUAGCAUCCUAAAAUUCUAGAUUUUAGGGCAUGCCACCUUUAUCAAAAUCUGAUGAUUACAACUCUAAAAUGUGUUAUUUUGGAUUUUCUUUAGCAUGAUGUGAUAUGAAAUGAAAUGAACAGGCAAUUUGCUUCUUAAAUGUCUGCUGAAACGAGGGCUGAACUUCACCAUUUGACAUGAUCUAUUGCUGCCAGAGCCACUGCUGUUCCAAAAAAUUAUUAUAACAGAUGUGAAUUAUUUAACCACAAGCUCUCCAUAACCACAUCAUAAUCUCUGUGCACAUUUAUACUGACUAUUUUUUGGUACAUAACAUAAUUAAGCUAUUCUGAUAAAGUUUACAUCUAAAAGGACAACAGUGUUUCCACUGCUUUAAUAUCUAAGAUAAAUCAGAUAUUUAUCUUAUACUGGGUGACAACAGUUUUUUAUGUAAUAUCAAGUUAGGAGUUUUUAUUGUGUUUUAAAUUCCACAAUGAUGUUUGACAUAGCAAAUUAUACAUAUAGAUCUUAGGUGCACAGAAAAACUGGAAAUCAUGGGUAAAUGAAAUGUGCAUUUAACUAACGAGUUCCUCAUGUAAAGCUAUGGAGGUACUUGGUACUUUUGCCAUUCACUUAAAAUGAAUCAAACACACAAGCCAACAACUCCAAAACACUCAAGCAGACAAGCUGUGACCAGUAACAUGGUGAUACUUGUUUCGCUAAUGCCACAUACUAAAUACAACUCGUUCAUUUCAAGACUGCAUAAACUUCACCUUGCCUUUAAUGUAGGAAUUAGGAAAACAGUAACUUGUCACCACCUCUGGAUGCCGUUGUUCGUAAGCACAUUUUGGACAUAUGACAACAUUCUUUCUUCAAGAUGCGCUCUAUCUUCUUAUGACAGCUGAAGCAUCCCCUUUCGUUUAUUCUUUUAGAUGGGACCCACCCGGGGGGGAAGGGGUGAUGGUGGAGCAUCACCCCAUGAUGCUGUACAGUAAGAAAAAAAUAUUGUUGUACUGCAGGAACAGUAUAACAGAAAAUUUAAAUGGUUUUGAAACCGUGACUUACAGUAUACUUUGAAACCGGUAAUCAGCCCAUGCAAAGUCCACAUAACUGUUUUCCAUCUUUUUAUCUCAUGAAGUUGUAAUCACUCUUUAGUUGAGAAGAUUUUGCAUUAUUGUCCUUCUGCUGGUCUUGGGUCUAAUAUCCUCUCCCUGAUUCUUUCUCUUUCUAUUGUGACAAUAACUUUUUUUUCAUAAAGUACAUGGAAAGGAUGUGGUGUGCACAACUUCUGUACAGAAAUUAAAAAGGAUUGGGUCAUUCCUUGUAUUAAUUAGCAAGUAAUGUAAAAUAGGACACCACCACAACAACAACAGUAGUAUUCUUUUUUAAAAAGUCACUUUGUUUAGAGAUAUUAAUUUUGUCAGUACAACAUUUUCAGGAAGAUAAAAAGUUUAAUUUGAACAUCAAAAACCUACCAAUUAAGCUACCAGAAAUGGAUUAUUUGCAUUUGUUUGUGACCAAAUUAGUUUUAUUUAGUUUUUUUUGUUUUUGUUAAGACAUAUGUCCACAUUUAUUUUGUUCUACAUGUGAAAAACCAACUCCAGCCAAGGAUCUUGUGGUAUAGCACAAUAUUUAGCACAAUAUUUACAAUAACUCAUACACAACCACAUGAUACAGUAUGCAAUAGAUUGUUCCUACUACAUAGUUUUGAAAAAACAGGAUAGAGUGGUUGCAAAUAUAUUAUAAAGCCCUGAUUUAGAACAAGGUCUGCAAUGGUGAGAGAAGAAGUUUUUAAUUUUCAUCAUUCAAAAAUGUUAUUUGACACAUUGACUGACUUUGGAGAAAAUCUAGGAACUAAUUUUCAGUAUGUUGUAGUGCAUUAUUAAUUUCAUACUAAGAAGAAAAGCUGAUCCGCUUCCUGGCAAUUUUCUGCCUUCAUUAUCACUUAACACAUUAUUUUUUUUAUGUUAAAAAAUGACAAAUUGUAAUACAGAAAUAUGUUCACAAGUGUUAAAUUAACUCUUAACACCUUUGUUCUCAAUUAUUGUCAGAGCUUUGUGAUCCACAAAGCUCUGACAAUAAUGUGCAAGUAUGUAAAAAAUAAACCACAAGUCAAGGACACAUUUUAAAGUAAUUUGAUUUCUGGACACCACCUACAAACCCUCCUAAGAUUUAACAACCUAUAGGGUCACAGAUCCAAUUUUGGCAACUACUGAAAUAAACAAUUUUGAUUGGUCACGUCAGCUACAACUGACUCCACAGUAACCACUGUAAAUUACAUGAGUGAUAUUUUUUCUAUGUUUACAUGAAAGGCACAUGCUUUGGUUUUUAGAUUACCAACAUGUCAAAAAAAAUCAUAUACAUGGGUCAUAUUAUAUAUUACAUGCGUCAGAAAUUAAGUUUAAUAAGUCUAGUUAAUUUUCAGUGUAGCAUAGUUGCUUCCGCAGAUCCAUUGGCAUGAACAUUUAAGUUUUGUUAUUUUCAAUUACUUAUA